AGCUCACCUCCAUCCCGCAUCUCUCUCCUCUCUCACCUCUCGCAACUCUCACAUCACGUCUCCCGGCCCGCUCUCUAUCGUCUCUCCCUUGUCUCUCUCAACAAUUGCAGGUGCAAAUUAGGGCUUGGUUGAUAGAGUUCAAUCAGGGCUCUGUUUGAAGGGACGAGGCUUUGACACUGUAAUUAGGGAUUUGGUUCUUCAAAUCAGGGCUUGGUUUCUUCAUUUAUUUGCAUUACAGUUGUUUCAUCACUUCAACCAUAUCUACUCACAUUUUAUGUUUCGUUUCAGAGGCUUCUACACGUAGGGGGUUUGGGUGUUUAAUUAGGUACUAAGGCUUUAGUACUUUGAAUUAGGGCCUUCAUAUUUUAUGUUAAGCAGGGUCUUAAUUAAACUUGAUUUGUCAUUUUCAGGGUUUCUUCACUUCGGGCAUGAAUUAGGGCUUUUAACUUUGGGGUUGAAUUAAGAUUUGAUUACAGGUAUCUCCCCAGUGUUCCUAUAUUUUUCACUAAAUGUUGUUAUUUUUGCCUUUUAUUUUUGAUUUAGUUGGAUUUAUGCUUUUUUUUCAUAUUUUAUUUAGACUCUUUUUUUGUUGUGAUUGUGGAUAAGACAUUGUUUAUGUGAAGAUUAUGGUUUGAGUAAAAUAUUUAGUAUACUAAAUAUAUGCUUUCUUGGAAUGUUUGCUGGUUUAGACUAAUCGUUUGACUUAAAAAGAUUAAUACAGAUUGCAUAUAGGACUAUAAGCUAGCAAACAUGUCUUAAGUUGAAAUUAUGUAUAUUUUAUAUGUAUUACUGAGAGGUAUGAGUAUAUCUAUGUAGUUUUCCUCGGGUCUGCUUGGUUUAGACUAAUCGUUUGGCUUAAAAAGAUUAAUAUAGAUUGCAUAUAGGACUAUAAGCUAGCAAACAGGUCUUAAGUUGAAAUUAUGUAUAUUUUAUAUGUAUUACUUGGAGGUAUGAGUAUAUCUAUGUAGUUUUUCUCGGGUCUGCUUAGUGUUGAGUUCAUUGACUGAGUUGCUCCAGGAUUAAUUGGAGAAAAUAUAUUUAGUCAAAUGUCUGUGAUUUAUACUCUCUCUUUUUGUUUUGACUGAGUUUAUGUGAAGAUUGUGUGAGUUUGUGUUAAGUGGAUAUAUACCUGUUAUGUGAAGAUUAUGUAAAGAUUGUGUGAGUUUGUGUUAAGUGGAUAUAUACCCUGUUAUGUGAAGAUUAUGUGUUGUCUGAAUAUUAUAUGACUCUCUUGCUACGAUUAUAUAGUUGUGCCACAUAUUGCUUUGCAUGCUCUGUCCUGGCCUAGUUAAUAUUUUUUAAAUGUUUGAUAUACUUAUCUUAAGGUUAUCUAGGUGCAUUACUUUACUGAAGUUCCUCAAUGUUAAGUUGAGGGUUAUUAAAUUGCUACUGUAUUAUCAUGUAGGAAGAAAUUUAAAGUAAAGACAUUGAACUUGAAUAAUAAGUGUAGUAAACUGUCUUAAUUGUAGUGAUGGACGACAUGGAUAAUACUUGGAUAAACCUUCAAAAAUAUAGUUAGCAGUAUAUAACAGGAGUAAGAGCAUUUAUUCAAAAUGCAUUCCCUGACCUAGCCGUUGGUGAUGAAUUGAGAUGCCCUUGAAAAAAAUGUAAAAACAUCAAGUGGCAUCGUCAAGACCUUUUAUAUGAUCAUGUGAUCUUCCAUGGCCCUCGCCAUUGUACUCUGACUGAAUUGUGGAAGUUGCACACAUUCCUAUUCCCAAUUAUGACGAUGAUCUAGAAUUAGGUAAUUCUAAUUCAAAUUUUGAAGAUAACCUAGAAGAAAUGUUUAAUAAAGUGAAUGGACCAAAUGCCGAUGCUAAACAAUUCUAUGCCCAUGUUGAAGAGGGAAAGCAGCCAUUAUAUCCCGGCUCCAAAAAGUUUUUUAGAUUAAGUUUCAUUAUUCGACUUUAUUCCUUAAAGUGUAUUAAUGGAAUCAUAGUCUGGAUUUACUGAUAUAUUAGAGCUUAUCAAGGAAGCUUUCCCAGAGGCAAACAUACCUUGUCUUUCAAUACUGUGAAGAACAUAAUUAGGGAUUUAGGGCUAGAUUAUCAAAAGAUACACGCAUGUCCAAACCACUGCAUGCUGUAUUGGGGAGAAAAUGAAACAAAAAACUCUUGCAGUUAAAUACAGAUAUGAAAUACUGUCAGGAUCAAAACACAGAAUCAUAAUUUUUUACAAAUCAGCACUGAGUCAUUAUAGUCAAUAACCAUCUGUUUUUGAAAGUAAAAUGUAUAAAAAAUUUGGUAUAUCAAAUGCAACACAAUUAUGCAAGCUUAAUCAUAAUAUUUUUGACAAGCUCAGUCUAGUUCUGAUUCACAAACUUGAUCUCUGUUGUCAUCUGGCCUUUCAAGAAGUUUAUUCCCGAGUACACAAUCUUUGUAGCAUAUAUUUGUCUUGCCCUCUCCAGUUGUCUUUUCUGUUCAAUACCCUGUAAAUAUGAUUUUUAUAAAUGGUCAUAAAAAAGAAAAAAAUUAUAUAUAUCUAAUCCAAACUUGAAAUUAUUUUAGAAACAAAAGUUAGUUUGCAUACAACCUCUGCAGCAAAUUUGCACUCCCAGUUGCGCAGUCCAUAUCCCAUAUAUGUUUCCAUAUGAUGCAUGGCAAACACUCCAGAGUCUACGUUUUUAUUUGAAGUUCUCCAUUUCAUUUGUAGACGUUGCACUGGAGCAUUACUUAACAACAUGCUUUUUUUAGGGCUUUGCUGUGCAAUGUAUAAGCCAAAGUUCUCUUGCUGAAACGUAUAGUUAAAAAUAUAACUGUUGGUUAAUACAAUCAAAUAAAACAAAAAAAACUAUAUUUAUUUCAAAGUGGAAAAAGUUGCAUACCAUGGUUUCAGGUAUUCCAUCGUACAUGGUAUCUACACGGUCUCCACUUCUGUUGUCAAUUAUCUCAACAGUAAUCUUCUUUAAAUUGAAGCAUAUCACGUAGAAGUGGUUUCCAGAGAACAUGGGGAAGAAGAUCUUUGGUGGGAAAAAAAUACAUAUAUUUGCUCACAAUCAAAAAAUGAAAAUUGAAAAUAAUCUUACAUUGUUAUAAAUGAUAAAUAUGGAUAGAGUAUAUACCAGAUCAACAUGAUUAAUAUCCACUAUGUGCUUGAAAAAAAUUGCAUCCAUAUUGGAUUUGAACUUCAUGUAUGUUAUAUUUGGAUAAGUAGUGUUUGCUACAAAUUGGCUUCCUUUAACCACGUUUCCCAUCUAGCAGUGAAGACACAUAUAACAUUUUUUAAUAAAAAUUCUAAACAAAUAAUAUAUGUUCAAUUUUAAUGGAAAAAGAAUAUGAAAAAACAGAUGGUAGAUUAUAUGUGAUCUCAUAUCUCACAUUAGUUGGGGNCACUCGCCCCCCCCCCCCCUCUCUCUCCCUCUCCCUCUCUCUCUCUCUCUCUAUAUAUAUAUAUAUAUAUGUAUGUAUGUAUGUAUGUUUGUAUGUAUGUAUGUGUGUGUAUGUAUGUAUGUAUGUAUGUAUGUAUGUAUGUAUGUAUGUAUGUAUGUAUACUUGCCUUGCAUUAGUUGAGAAUUGCUUUGAUGGUUAGAGUUUAAUUUAAUUAACUACGUGAGUAGAGGCUAAUUGGGAUAAUGUUUACUCGAUUGGGAGUUAAUUGAUGUAUAUGGGUUCAUAUGAAUUAGGGGUUUAAUUGGAUUCUAAAUUUGUAUAUGUUGGGAAGGAAUUGUUAUGUAAUGUGUGUGUUAUAUUGAAUUGAAUAAAUUAGUAAAGGUUGUGGUUGAUAUGAAAUUGUUUAUAUAUAAUCGAGUCACUUGAAGUUAAGUUUUCGUAGCAGCACUGCCUCUGUUUGGAGCCAUGUUUCGAACAGAUUAACAUCAUUCCUAAGCUGUGAUUAUAUUGGAUUCAUGUUCUUCUCAGAGUCUGGGGAAGAAGAUCUUUGGUGGGAAAAAAAUACAUAUAUUUUCUCACAAUCAAAAAAUGAAAAUUGAAAAUAAUCUUACAUUGUUAUAAAUGAUAAAUAUGGAUAGAGUAUAUACCAGAUCAACAUGAUUAAUAUCCACUAUGUGCUUGAACAAAAUUACAUCCAUAUUGGAUUUGAACUUCAUGUAUGUUAUAUUUGGAUAAGUAGUGUUUGCUACAAAUUGACUUCCUUUAACCACGUUUCCCAUCUAGCGGUGAAGACACAUAUAACAUUUUUUAAUAAAAAUUCUAAACAAAUAAUAUAUGUUCAAUCUUAAUGGAAAAAGAAUAUGAAAAAACAGAUGGUAGAUUAUAUGUGAUCUCAUAUCUCACAUUAGUUGGGGUUCUCAUUUGAGCACUUGCCUCUCUCUCUCUCUCUCUCUCUCUCUCUCUCUCUCUAUAUAUAUAUAUAUAUAUAUAUAUAUAUAUAUGUAUGUAUGUAUGUAUGUAUGUAUGUAUGUAUGUAUGUAUGUAUGUAUGUAUGUAUGUAUGUAUGUAUGUAUGUAUGUAUGUAUACUUGCCUUGCAUUAGUUGAGAAUUGCUUUGAUGGUUAGAGUUUAAUUUAAUUAACUACGUGAAUAGAGGCUAAUUGGGAUAAUGUUUACUCGAUUGGGAGUUAAUUGAUGUAUAUGGGUUCUUAUGAAUUAGGGGUUUAAUUGGAUUCUUAAUUUGUAUUUGUUGGGAAGGAAUUGUUAUGUAAUGUGUGUGUUAUAUUGAAUUGAAUAAAUUAGUAAAGGUUGUGGUUGAUAUGAAAUUGUUUAUAAAUAAUCGAGUCACUUGAAGUUAAGUUUUCGCAGCAGCACUGCCUCUGUUUGGAGCCCUGUUUCAAACAGAUUAACAUCAUUCCUAAGCUGUAUUUAUAUUGGAUUCAUGUUCUUCUCAGAGUCUAGUUUAUGUGCACGAAAGAAUCGAAUCGAUUCGAUUAGCGAGCUAGGAGAUAUGACAGUUUUAGUAUGACAUGCGCAGAAUACAAAACUGCUUCGCUCUUUGACUUUAUAGAUUAUAGUUUAAUUACUUAAACUUUUAUUUUCAAGCCAAAACUUAUUCUAUAGCUAGUCAGACAGGUGAGGGAGGUCUCAUAAAAAUUUCAAGUGGAAAACUUAUAUUUUUGAUUUAUUAAGAAUGUUUGAAUGUCAGUAGCGCAGACUUGUGAAAAAAUCUGUUUUAAUAUCACAAAGAGAAUUCCUUUUGCAAGUUUAAUCCUAUGAGUUAGGUUGAACUUUCUUUGAUCUCUUCGUAUAAGAUAUAUAAAGGUCUCUAAGAAAGAUUUUAUUAAGAAGUUGAAUUAUUGACUUAUGAUUUAGCAUAUGAUUUCAGCAUUCGCUAAUUAUUUAAAUUAAGUCAACGAGUAAUGGAUAAUGGUAUUUGAUUGGUUUAUUGAGUUGAUUAUUUGUUGAAUAGUAUAGGAAAACAGGUGGAUAGUCUGAUAAAUAGAGAAGGUGCUGCCGAAUUUUCGUUAGAAAUUAUAUAUGUUUUACUCGUUGAAGGAUAUUAAAUAGUUAAGAAUAAGGUGACAUGGUUAAUUGAAACAUGUUAUUUGUUAACUUAUCAAUAUUGACUUUUAAUAGCUAUAAAAGUUAAUUGUUCAACUAUGUGUUAUGUGUUUAUCUGACUAUAUAGUAUGUAUAUGGAUUUACGAAGGGUAGCUAAUUACGGAUUUUAUACGUUAUUCGAUAUUAGUUAACUCCGUCGGCAUCGACAACUGAAGUACCGUGUUACUCUUGGAGAAUCAACCGAGACUUGUAUAUCAAGGACAUUGAGAAGUAGUUGAAUAGCUUUGCGAAUUGAAUGAGGAAUAGUUCCUUAAGACGAAGCUGUGUUGUGAGAUAGUCUAGUAGAAUUAAUCGGUAUGAAAAUCAGCAGAACUGAGGCAAGUACUAUAGCUCUUCACUUAUUGUUCAAGUGAGAUAUUUUGUUCAAUCAUAAUAUUGAUAGAUUAAUUUCUCUCGAGUUUUCUUGCAAGUAAUACUAUUCUCAACUUGUAAUUACUGCAAGUAUUCCUAUUCAACUUCUUUAUUUAAAAGCAAGUACUUCUAUCUCUCUCUUGCAAUUAACAUCAAGUAAUUCUAUUCUCAACUUGUAAACAAGUACGAUUUUGAUUUAAAAAGGGUGACUUACUAAAUUGAUACACAUGGUUUCAAAAAUCUCUAUAAAUGAUUUUCAUAACUCGGUUUAGUUCCUAUGGUUGUAAGGAUUAUCCGUUGUAAGUAUACUUCCGAUGAAAUAAACCUUUUCUUGAAAAUAUAAAUUCUUUAGUGAAAGGCAUAUGUUUAGCCUAUUUGUAAUUAAAGAGGUACCAACUCAACUCUGAUAAGAAAGCAAGGUAAAUAGCAAGUACUGUUGAAGGAAUCCAUACGAAGAACGUCAAGUGAUUUAUUUAAAUUAUAUGUCUGAAGAAUUUCAGGAUGCUGCUGCACACCACUGGAAGAAGUUCAUUAAUAUGUUCAAGCCUCAGUGUUCAAAUAAUCUUUUGUAGCACGUCCAGAAGUCCAGAAGGUAUAAAGUUUUAAUACUUUAUUUAUUCAGAAGAUUCUAUACUAUUUCUACUUAUGAAGAAGAACUACGAAGACAAAGACUCGACGAACAAGCCACGUAUCAAAUGUUUAUUUGAUAAAGGAUAUUUAAUUCAGCUUGAUACAGA
rnacentral:lncRNA from 1 species